rnacentral:rRNA from 1 species
UGCCAGCAGCCGCGGUAAUACGGAGGGGGUUAGCGUUGUUCGGAAUUACUGGACGUAAAGCGCACGUAGGCGGAUUAGUAAGUUAGAGGUGAAAUCCCAGGGCUCAACCCUGGAACUGCUUUCAAAACUGGCAGACUAGAGUAUGGUAGAGGAUAGUGGAAUUCCUAGUGUAGAGGUGAAAUUCGUAGAUAUUAGGAGGAACACCAGUGGCGAAGGCGACUGUCUGGGCCAUUACUGACGCUGAGGCGCGAAAGCGUGGGGAGCAAACAGGAUUAGAUA